AUCAUGCGAUCUCUUUGGAUU
rnacentral:miRNA from 2 species